UUUAAUCUGAUCGUCGUUUUUCCUUCUCGCUCUCGAAUGACAAUAAGCGUACCGCUGGAGUUAGUACCGAAGAUACCGAGACUUUAGUAGAGGUAGCGGUAAAAGACCCGUCAGCGUCGAGGUCGCGUAGGUCGGAAGUCGUGCUAGUAGUAGAAAGUCUCAUUACAGGUUUUUCCGUUUCUUUCAAGUCUGAAGAGUCGGAAAGCCAGUCAUGUACGAUAUUUUAGGUGGAAGACAAUAUGCCUUAAAGAUCCUUAUUUUUCCUUGAUAAUGACCGGAUAACCUAUCGUAAACAAAACAAAUAGUUAUAUCGACUCAUAUAGGAUGUUUUCGAUACUUUAACACGAAAGAAUUGUAGAUCCCGGGCCCCCUCCUAACCUUGACUUUCUACCACAACUACGUAGACCUUCCGGUCGGUUCCCCUUCCCGCAGAUGGUCAAACGGUCGUUCAUACCUCGUUUACAACUACCCAUGUCGGGUUAUAUAUUGGGUCUUCUUACCAGAGGUUCACCACUGAUGAUGCGCCCUCCUUUCUGUCCCAACAACGAGACCCACCGAUGAGAACGACCUUAAGACGACCCACCACGAGACGAACAAAUGUUAUGAUCACGAAACCGAAGAACUUCGAACCAUGGCAUUUGGUCUAAUACAUGGUACGUUCCUAAAUGUAGUAGAUCCCAUCUAUAAGCCUGUGUAUAUAGGGAUAUGAAUUAAUGGUUUUCGUUAUUCAGAGGCUAUACGUUUAUUACCAGAAUAUACAACACGUUAACUACAUUAUUUCUGAUUUAUUAGUCGUUUUACGAUGCGGAAGUCGAUUGUUCCGUCACCUAUACUCACGUGUCUCAGACUGAACUUGUUUUAUCGACUUGUACUGUAUUGACUUUAUACCCUGUCGAGUACUCCUUUAACAAGUUAAACAAAAGAGAAUCGUGCAGAGGCGAUUACGAGACGUAUCGUAAACCAAGGUCG
rnacentral:rRNA from 1 species